rnacentral:misc_RNA from 1 species
AAGCCUCUGAAUGUCUCUGCUUUUAA